CUGGGUACCACCAUCUACUCAGUUGUCAAGUCUGAAACAUGGAAGCUCUCUUUGGUGUUUCCCAGAGUUAACUUUUAGAAAGUUACAUUUAUUAUAUACGCAAAACAUCUUUCAAAUCCACCCAUUUCUCUCCAUUUCCAUUUUUAUAAUCCUAGUUAAGUAGUAUUAUCAUCUCUUGCCUAAAGUAACAACCUCUAUUUGUCUUUUUGUCUCUAAUCUUAUUUCCUUUUAUUUUCUAUUCUCCAAACUGCAACCAGAAUAUUAUUUCUAAAAUACAAAUCUAAUUACUUCAUUCCCUGGUUUAAAAUCCUCCCAUUUGCUUCCCAUUUGCUUCUAGAGUAAAACAGCUUACAGGGUACUGCAGAAUCUGAUCUGUCCUUACCUCUAUAGCCUUCUCAGUUCUCGAGUCUUGCUGUUUUCAUUUUAGAUAAACUUCUUUCCACUAGUCUCCCCUAAAUCCUCCAUGUUCCUGGUGCUCAUUGUAUGCUUCUGCUCUCAUUGCAUCUGCUAUACUAUAUUCAAAUUAAUUGUCUGUUUCCCUGAGUAGACUAAUCUCAGGGCAGGGAUCAAGUAGUUUAUUUUUGUUUGUGUGUGUGUGUAUGUAUGUCCACACACACAUGCGUGUGUGGUUUAGCACGGGAAGGCCUUGAUCCUGAGUGGUCAUAGGAUCCCCAUCACCUACUUGGAUUGAGGCCUGAAUUCCUGAGGGCAACAUAGACUGCACUAUGGUAGUCAUAAUCAACAUCUUUGGAAAGGAAAUGUAAUUGGCUGGGGCCUUCUGUGUGAUCCUUGAAUGGCUAACUGAAAAAAUUUGAACACUGUUCAAAAUGUUUUAAUGAUAUACUCCAUAUUCAACAUUGGUAGUAUUGUUUCUGCAGUUUACAUCAAAAUGAAGAAGUGGAUUAAAAUUAGACUUUGUAAUGAGUUGCUUGCUUAUACAUUAUUGUGUGAGGUAGUUAAUCAGCCUGUUUAUUCUUUUCUUUGUACUCAGAACUUAAAUAUUCCCUAAUAUUUUAUUUUUUCC
rnacentral:lncRNA from 1 species